UUGAAGAGUUUGAUCAUGGCUCAGAUUGAACGCUGGCGGCAGGCCUAACACAUGCAAGUCGAGCGGUAGCACAGAGAGCUUGCUCUCGGGUGACGAGCGGCGGACGGGUGAGUAAUGUCUGGGAAACUGCCUGAUGGAGGGGGAUAACUACUGGAAACGGUAGCUAAUACCGCAUAACGUCGCAAGACCAAAGUGGGGGACCUUCGGGCCUCAUGCCAUCAGAUGUGCCCAGAUGGGAUUAGCUAGUAGGUGGGGUAACGGCUCACCUAGGCGACGAUCCCUAGCUGGUCUGAGAGGAUGACCAGCCACACUGGAACUGAGACACGGUCCAGACUCCUACGGGAGGCAGCAGUGGGGAAUAUUGCACAAUGGGCGCAAGCCUGAUGCAGCCAUGCCGCGUGUGUGAAGAAGGCCUUCGGGUUGUAAAGCACUUUCAGCGGGGAGGAAGGCGAUAAGGUUAAUAACCUUGUCGAUUGACGUUACCCGCAGAAGAAGCACCGGCUAACUCCGUGCCAGCAGCCGCGGUAAUACGGAGGGUGCAAGCGUUAAUCGGAAUUACUGGGCGUAAAGCGCACGCAGGCGGUCUGUCAAGUCGGAUGUGAAAUCCCCGGGCUCAACCUGGGAACUGCAUUCGAAACUGGCAGGCUAGAGUCUUGUAGAGGGGGGUAGAAUUCCAGGUGUAGCGGUGAAAUGCGUAGAGAUCUGGAGGAAUACCGGUGGCGAAGGCGGCCCCCUGGACAAAGACUGACGCUCAGGUGCGAAAGCGUGGGGAGCAAACAGGAUUAGAUACCCUGGUAGUCCACGCCGUAAACGAUGUCGAUUUGGAGGUUGUGCCCUUGAGGCGUGGCUUCCGGAGCUAACGCGUUAAAUCGACCGCCUGGGGUACGGCCGCAAGGUUAAAACUCAAAUGAAUUGACGGGGGCCCGCACAAGCGGUGGAGCAUGUGGUUUAAUUCGAUGCAACGCGAAGAACCUUACCUGGUCUUGACAUCCACAGAACUUAGCAGAGAUGCUUUGGUGCCUUCGGGAACUGUGAGACAGGUGCUGCAUGGCUGUCGUCAGCUCGUGUUGUGAAAUGUUGGGUUAAGUCCCGCAACGAGCGCAACCCUUAUCCUUUGUUGCCAGCGGUCCGGCCGGGAACUCAAAGGAGACUGCCAGUGAUAAACUGGAGGAAGGUGGGGAUGACGUCAAGUCAUCAUGGCCCUUACGACCAGGGCUACACACGUGCUACAAUGGCAUAUACAAAGAGAAGCGACCUCGCGAGAGCAAGCGGACCUCAUAAAGUAUGUCGUAGUCCGGAUUGGAGUCUGCAACUCGACUCCAUGAAGUCGGAAUCGCUAGUAAUCGUAGAUCAGAAUGCUACGGUGAAUACGUUCCCGGGCCUUGUACACACCGCCCGUCACACCAUGGGAGUGGGUUGCAAAAGAAGUAGGUAGCUUAACCUUCGGGAGGGCGCUUACCACUUUGUGAUUCAUGACUGGGGUGAAGUCGUAACAAGGUAACCGUAGGGGAACCUGCGGUUGGAUCACCUCCUU
rnacentral:rRNA from 1 species